rnacentral:rRNA from 1 species
UACGAAGGGUCCAAGCGUUAUCCGGAUUUAUUGGGCUUAAAGGGCGCGUAGGCGGCUUAUUAAGUCAGUGGUGAAAGCCUGUAGCUCAACUACAGAACUGCCAUUGAUACUGAUGAGCUUGAAUAUACUUGAGGUUGGCGGAAUGUGUCAUGUAGCGGUGAAAUGCUUAGAUAUGACACAGAACACCGAUUGCGAAGGCAGCUAGCUAAAGUACAAUUGACGCUGAUGCACGAAAGCGUGGGGAGCAAACAGG